GCUUCUAUGACGUUAGCGGCGGACGGGUGAGUAACACGUGGGCAACCUGCCUGUAAGACUGGGAUAACUUCGGGAAACCGAAGCUAAUACCGGAUAGGAUCUUCUCCUUCAUGGGAGAUGAUUGAAAGAUGGUUUCGGCUAUCACUUACAGAUGGGCCCGCGGUGCAUUAGCUAGUUGGUGAGGUAACGGCUCACCAAGGCAACGAUGCAUAGCCGACCUGAGAGGGUGAUCGGCCACACUGGGACUGAGACACGGCCCAGACUCCUACGGGAGGCAGCAGUAGGGAAUCUUCCGCAAUGGACGAAAGUCUGACGGAGCAACGCCGCGUGAGUGAUGAAGGCUUUCGGGUCGUAAAACUCUGUUGUUAGGGAAGAACAAGUACAAGAGUAACUGCUUGUACCUUGACG
rnacentral:rRNA from 1 species